rnacentral:lncRNA from 1 species
CUUUUCAGGUCUAUAGCUCAAAUUGUGGGGCUGUCAGCUACCCCUGAGGGAAAACUUUACCCAAUAUCAUCUCAAAAACAAACUAUAUGUGUUUGUGGAAAAAAAUAAAGCUAAAAGACAAAACUUGACAUGGAGAGAAAAAGAUGAUUUUCUUUGGGAUGGUUUUCUUUUGCGCUUGCAACCUUAAAUGAUUGACUCUAUAUCUGAAUGUACAUUUUUCUGGAUUUAAUACAAAUAUGAAAUGUUGACUCGGACACGACUAAACGACUAAACAAACAUAAACAAUACAAAUAUGAAAUGUUGACCUCAUCCCUUGUUUCUUUCAUGUUCUCUCUUUCAAGAUGGUGCAGUGAGCGGAUGCACCUCCAUACUGCUCCAGUGCAACCUCUAUUUUGGUAAACUUGUGAAACCGAACAGAAAUUUCUCUCCCGUCUUUCUGCUCUCCAUCUGGAAAAAGCUUAUCCGAAACCAUGGGGAAGAGGAGAAGACCCGAAUACCCUUCUAGCCAAGAUAAUAUGCCAAUUAAGACAUCAAAACAGAGAUGUCUGGAAGACUGUCUGGUGUGGUCAGACAUAGCAGACUUUGAGGGUCCCAAGGUCGAUGAGUCCUGGACAACUGCCUAGCCUUCAACUAACGGCUUCCAGAGUGCAAGCAACAGAGAUGAUUCUUCAUCUGUAUCAAGCCUAGGUGCCCUGUCAUUGAUAUCCCAUCUAAAAGCAACCACUGACACCAUUGGAAGUUCUUUAUUAAAGCUAAAAUCUUCUCAUCCUGAGUUUCAUGUGGAAGCUCACUUGUCCCAUCCCAGUUCAAGCAGCACCCAGAGCAUCAAAAAAGACAAAAGAAAAAGAAAAAGUAGGGAGCUUUGUAAUAAGUCUCCUCUUGAUCUCCUAGUACCUAAGUCU